UACGUAGGUGGCAAGCGUUGUCCGGAUUUAUUGGGCGUAAAGGGAGCGCAGGUGGUUUCUUAAGUCUGAUGUGAAAGCCCCCGGCUCAACCGGGGAAGGGCAUUGGAAACUGGGGAACUUGAGUGCAGUAGAGGAGAGUGGAAUUCCAUGUGUAGCGGUGAAAUGCGUAGAUAUAUGGAGGAACACCAGUGGCGAAGGCGACUCUCUGGUCUGUAACUGACGCUGAGGCUCGAAAGCGUGGGGAGCGAACAGG
rnacentral:rRNA from 1 species